GAUAAACGCUAGCGGCAGGCUUAACACAUGCAAGUCGAGGGGCAGCAUAGAUUGUAGCAAUACAAUUGGUGGCGACCGGCGCACGGGUGCGUAACGCGUAUGCAACCUACCCGUCACAGGGGGAUAAUCCGGAGAAAUCUGGUCUAAUACCCCAUAACAUAUGGAUCGGCAUCGGUUCAUGUUGAAAUUUUCGGAGGUGACGGAUGGGCAUGCGUAGCAUUAGCUUGUUGGUGAGGUAACGGUUCACCAAGGCGACGAUGCUUAGGGGGACUGAGAGGUUGUCCCCCCACACUGGUACAGGGACACGGACCAGACUCCUACGGGAGGCAGCAGUGAGGAAUAUUAGUCCAUGGGCGCAAGCCUGAACCAGCCAUGCCGCGUGCAGGAUGACGGCUCUAUGAGUUGUAAACUGCUUUUGUACGAGGGUAAAGUGGGUUACGUGUAACCUUUUGAAAGUAUCGUACGAAUAAGGAUCGGCUAACUCCGUGCCAGCCGCCGCGGUAA
rnacentral:rRNA from 1 species